rnacentral:rRNA from 1 species
GUUAUAGGGUCAAGUGAAUAAGUGCAUGUGGUGGAUGCCUUGGCGAUUACAGGCGAUGAAGGACGUGAUAGCCUGCGAUAAGCUUCGGGGAGCUGGCAAGUUAGCUUUGAUCCGGAGAUUUCCGAAUGGGGAAACCCACCGAAAGGUAUCGCACACUGAAUACAUAGGUGUGCGAGGCGAACCGGGUGAACUGAAACAUCUCAGUAGCUCGAGGAAAAGACAUCAACCGAGAUUCCGAGAGUAGUGGCGAGCGAAAUCGGAACAGCCUGCACGUUUUAGCAGUUGGUUUAUCGGAACGGAAUGGAAAGUCCGGCCAUAGCGGGUGAUAGCCCCGUACGAGAAAAGCUGAUUGUGGAACUGGGCGUGCGAAAAGUAGGGCGGGACACGUGUAAUCCUGUCUGAACAUGGGGGGACCAUCCUCCAAGGCUAAAUACUCGUAAUCGACCGAUAGUGAACAAGUACCGUGAGGGAAAGGCGAAAAGAACCCCG